GUGCUUGCUUCGGUAGCACAUAUACUAAAAUUGGAAUGAUACAGUGAAGAUUAGCAUGGCCCCUGCACAAGGAUGACACGCAAAUUAGCAGAUUCGAGAAUGUGCUCU